rnacentral:rRNA from 1 species
KGSGGSAKCUAUGCAUGCAGUCGAAAGGGUUUAGGCCCUUGGCAAACGGGUUAGUAAUACAUAGGAMCYUUCCUUGAAGUCGUGAAUAAUCCGGAGAAAUCCGGAAUAAUACACGAUGUGCUCUACGGAGUAAAGAUUUACCGCUUCAUGAGAGGCCUAUGUCCUAUCAGCUUGUUGGUGGUGUAAUGGACCACCAAGGCUAUGACGGGUAGGGGGUGUGAGAGCACGGCCCCCAACAUUGGGACUGAGACACUGCCCAAACUCCUACGGGAGGCUGCAGUCGAGAAUAUUUGUCAAUGCACGAAAGUGUGAACAUGCGACGCCGCGUGCGGGAUGAAGGCCUUCGGGUCGUAAACCGCUUUUGUAAGGGAAGAAUUACGAUGACWUUAACUUACGAAUAARAGGUUACUAACUCUGUGCCAGCAGUAGCGGUAAUACAGAGACCUCAAACGUUAUCCGGAUUUAUUGGGCGUAAAGAGCUGGUAGGUGGUUAUAUUAGUCAGAUGUCAAAUCUCGGAGCUCAACUCCGAAACUGCAUUUGAAACGGUAUAACUAGAGGGUGUGAGAGAUCUAUGGAACUCAUGGUGUAGCAGUGAAAUGCGUUGAUAUCAUGAGGAACACCAAAGGCGAAGGCAUUAGAUUGGCACACUCSUGACACUGAGCAGCGAAAGCGUGGGUAGCGAAUGGGAUUAGAUACCCCAGUAGUCCA